GCCGGGCAUGGUGGUGCACACCUGUAAUCCCAGUGGCUUGGGAGGCUGAGUCAGGAGGAUCACAAGUUCAAAGCCAAUCUCAGCAAAAAUGAGUUGCUAAGCAAUUCAGUGAGACCCUGCCUCUA
rnacentral:sRNA from 1 species